CGCAGGGAGGCGCGGGGCGAGCGGAGCGGAACGCCCCGCUCGGCCCCCUGUGCCGCCCCGGCCCCGCUCCUCGCCGCGGGCUCCGCGUUCCGGUGAAGAAAUCGGCCUUCCCGUGGCCUCCUCGGGAAACGGGCCGGCUCGCCGAGACGGCAGUUUAGUCACCUUACAUGUACUGGAGCAACAUAGCUAAGCUGACUUACACUUGCAUCACUACCCUGAACCUAAUUGCGUCUGCAGUCAUCUGGAACUGACCACAUGCCUGGACUGAUAAAAGAUGGCAUGCAAACAUGGAUCUCUCUGGGGCUGUGGCAAGGGAUUUAUUGGCUCCCUGAGAACAGUGGAAGAGUUUCUGUCCUGACCCACAACAUGAUGGAUGUUCAGACAAGAGGUUUCAGGAAUAGCACAACAGCAGUUCUGUGGGCAGUAGACAUAAUAGAAGACAGAUGCUUUUGCGGUAUCCUGUCUCUCUAUUGCCUGGACCUCUGGAAGACAGAAGAGUGAGAAUCAGCAGUGAUCGUUUUCCUGCAAACGCAAUUUGAGGAACUACUUUGACAACCGAUAGAAAAACAACUACCUUGCAGCAUGACCACAGCAAGUGCAUUUUCUUUCUGACAAUGUAUAAUUGCACUGUGUCCCUGGUGAGGAAUGAUGCCAGAAUGGCCAUCUGAUUAUCUGUAUUCAUUUCUCAUACUGUAACCAAGUUGUUUAUUUUCCACAAAUGUUCAUGCAAAAAUGCAGGGAUUCUCCAUGUAGAAUAAAGUAGGCCUACAAAGUAAGGAAGGACUGGUA
rnacentral:lncRNA from 1 species